rnacentral:rRNA from 1 species
ACGGUAUGUUGUGGUUGGGGUAAGGCCUUUCAAGGACGGAUAAUCAGUAGUCGUUUCUGGAAGGAGAUCAGCACAUUGGACUGAGGACACCGUUCAGACUCCUACGGAGGCAGCAGUGGGGGAAUUAUUGACAUGGGGAAACCCUGAUCCAGCGAUGCGCGUGAGUGAUGAGGCUUCGGGUGUAAAACUCUUUCACCUGAUGAAGAUGAUGACGGUAGUCAGAGAAAGAAGCUCCGGCUACCUUCGUGCCAGCAGCCGCGGUAAUACGAAGGGAGCUAGCGUGUUCGGAAUUACUGGGCGUAAAGAGUACGUAGGCUGUUAUGUAAGUUAGGUGUGAAAUUCUUGGUCUUAAGCUAAGGACUGCACUUAAUACUGCAUGACUUGAGUAUGGGAGAGGACAGAGGAAUUCCUAGUGUAGAGGUGAAAUUCGUAGAUAUUAGGAGGAACAUCGAUGGCGAAGGCAUCUGUCUGGAACAUAACUGACGCUUAGGUACGAAAGUGUGGGGAGCAAACAGGAUUAGAUACCCUGGUAGUCCACACCGUAAACGAUGAGUGCUAGAUGUUGGUAUUAUGUAUCAGUGUCUGAGCUAACGCAUUAAGCACUCCGCCUGGGGAGUACGAUCGCAAGAUUAAAACUCAAAGGAAUUGACGGGGACCCGCACAAGCGGUGGAGCAUGUGGUCUAAUUCGAAGCAACGCGAAGAACCUUACCAGGGCUUGACAUACCUACUAUAAUGACAAGAGAUUGUUGUUUUCAGUUUGGCUGGGUAGGAUACAGGUGCUGCAUGGCUGUCGUCAGCUCGUGUCGUGAGAUGUUGGGUUAAGUCCUUAAACGAGCGCAACCCCCAUUCUUAGUUACCAUCAGGUUAAGCUGGGUACUUUAAGAAAACUGCCGGUGAUAAGCCGGAGGAAGGUGGGGAUGACGUCAAGUCCUCAUGGCCCUUACGUCCUGGGCUACACACGUGCUACAAUGGUAGUUACAAAGAGUCGCAAACUCGCGAGGGUAAGCUAAUCUUAAAAAAACUAUCUCAGUCCGGAUUGCACUCUGCAACUCGAGUGCAUGAAGUCGGAAUCGCUAGUAAUCGUAGAUCAGCGUGCUACGGUGAAUACGUUCCCGGGUCUUGUACACACCGCCCGUCACACCAUGGGAGCUGAUUUUGCCUGAAAACGGUGCACCAACCGCAAGGAGGAAGCCGUUUACGGUAGUAUUAGUGACUGGGGUGAAGUCGUAACAAGGUAACCA